rnacentral:rRNA from 1 species
AGUGGCGGACGGGUGAGGAAUACAUCGGAAUCUACCCUUUCGUGGGGGAUAACGUAGGGAAACUUACGCUAAUACCGCAUACGAUCUGAGGAUGAAAGCAGGGGACCGCAAGGCCUUGCGCGAUUGGAUGAGCCGAUGUCCGAUUAGCUAGUUGGCGGGGUAAAGGCCCACCAAGGCGACGAUCGGUAGCUGGUCUGAGAGGAUGAUCAGCCACACUGGAACUGACACGGUCCAGACUCCUACGGGAGGCAGCAGUGGGGAAUAUUGGACAAUGGGCGCAAGCCUGAUCCAGCCAUGCCGCGUGUGUGAAGAAGGCCUUCGGGUUGUAAAGCACUUUUGUUGGGAAAGAAAUCCUGUCGGCCAAUACCCGGCGGGGAUGACGGUACCCAAAGAAUAAGCACCGGCUAACUUCGUGCCAGCAGCCGCGGUAAUACGAAGGGUGCAAGCGUUACUCGGAAUUGCUGGGCGUAAAGCGUGCGUAGGUGGUUCGUUAAGUCAGAUGUGAAAGCCCCGGGCUCAACCUGGGAAUUGCAUUUGAUACUGGCGGACUAGAGUGCGGUAGAGGAGAGUGGAAUUCCCGGUGUAGCAGUGAAAUGCGUAGAGAUCGGGAGGAACAUCAGUUGCGAAGGCGGCUCUCUGGACCAGCACUGACACUGAGGCACGAAAGCGUGGGGGAGCAAACAGGAUUAGAUACCCUGGUAGUCCACGCCCUAAACGAUGCGAACUGGACGUUGGGUGCAAUUGAGCAUUCAGUGUCGAAGCUAACGCGUUAAGUUCGCCGCCUGGGGAGUACGGUCGCAAGACUGAAACUCAAAGGAAUUGACGGGGGCCCGCACAAGCGGUGGAGUAUGUGGUUUAAUUCGAUGCAACGCGCAGA